rnacentral:rRNA from 1 species
GCAAGUCGAGGGGCAGCACGGUUUUCGGACUGGUGGCGACCGGCGCACGGGUGCGUAACGCGUAUGCAAUCUACCUUAUACUGGAGGAUAGCCCGGGGAAACUCGGAUUAAUACUCCAUGGUAUCACAGAUAGGCAUCUUGAAGUGAUUAAAGAUUUAUCGGUAUAAGAUGAGCAUGCGUCUGAUUAGAUAGUUGGUGAGGUAACGGCUCACCAAGUCAACGAUCAGUAGGGGUUCUGAGAGGAUGAUCCCCCACACUGGCACUGAGAUACGGGCCAGACUCCUACGGGAGGCAGCAGUAGGGAAUAUUGGUCAAUGGGCGAAAGCCCGAACCAGCCAUGCCGCGUGCAGGAUGACGGCCUUCUGGGUUGUAAACUGCUUUUAUAUGGGAAGAAAAAGGCCUUGCGAGGCAAAUUGCCGGUACCAUAUGAAUAAGCACCGGCUAACUCCGUGCCAGCAGCCGCGGUAAUACGGAGGGUGCAAGCGU